GCUUGCUUUCUUUGCUGGCGACCGGCGCACGGGUGAGUAACACGUAUCCAACCUGCCCUUUACUCGGGGAUAGCCUUUCGAAAGAAAGAUUAAUACCCGAUGGCAUAAUGAUUCCGCAUGGUUUCAUUAUUAAAGGAUUCCGGUAAAGGAUGGGGAUGCGUUCCAUUAGGCUGUUGGUGAGGUAACGGCUCACCAAGCCUUCGAUGGAUAGGGGUUCUGAGAGGAAGGUCCCCCACAUUGGAACUGAGACACGGUCCAAACUCCUACGGGAGGCAGCAGUGAGGAAUAUUGGUCAAUGGGCGCUAGCCUGAACCAGCCAAGUAGCGUGAAGGAUGAAGGCUCUAUGGGUCGUAAACUUC
rnacentral:rRNA from 1 species